rnacentral:rRNA from 1 species
GAUGAACGCUGGCGGCGUGCCUAAUACAUGCAAGUCGAGCGAACAGACGAGGAGCUUGCUCCUCUGACGUUAGCGGCGGACGGGUGAGUAACACGUGGAUAACCUACCUAUAAGACUGGGAUAACUUCGGGAAACCGGAGCUAAUACCGGAUAAUAUAUUGAACCGCGUGGUUCAAUAGUGAAAGACGGUUUUGCUGUCACUUAUAGAUGGAUCCGCGCCGCAUUAGCUAGUUGGUAAGGUAACGGCUUACCAAGGCAACGAUGCGUAGCCGACCUGAGAGGGUGAUCGGCCACACUGGAACUGAGACACGGUCCAGACUCCUACAGGAGGCAGCAGUAGGGAAUCUUCCGCAAUGGGCGAAAGCCUGACGGAGCAACGCCGCGUGAGUGAUGAAGGUCUUCGGAUCGUAAAACUCUGUUAUUAGGGAAGAACAAAUGUGUAAGUAACUAUGCACGUCUUGACGGUACCUAAUCAGAAAGCCACGGCUAACUACGUG